rnacentral:autocatalytically_spliced_intron from 1 species
AAGAGCCGUAUGAAUCCAAAGGUUCACGUACAGUUCCCUUCGGUUGACUCGACUCGCUAUGACGGAUUGGAACCAUAGCUUCAAAGUCGAAGCCAU